rnacentral:rRNA from 1 species
GAUGAACGCUGGCGGCGUGCUUAACACAUGCAAGUCGAACGAAGCACUCAGAUCUCUUCGGAGUGAUGAGUGACUGAGUGGCGGACGGGUGAGUAACGCGUGGGUAACCUGCCUUGUACAGGGGGACAACAGUUGGAAACGACUGCUAAUACCGCAUAAGCGCACAGCUUCGCAUGAAGCAGUGUGAAAAGCUGAGGCGGUACAAGAUGGACCCGCGGUUGGAUUAGCUAGUUGGUGGGGUAACGGCCUACCAAGGCGACGAUCCAUAGCCGACCUGCGAGGGUGAUGGGCCACAUUGGGACUGGUACACGGCCCAAACUCCUACGGGAGGCAGCAGUGGGGAAUAUUGCACAAUGGGCGAAAGCCUGAUGCAGCGACGCCGCGUGAGCGAUGAAGUAUUUCGGUAUGUAAAGCUCUAUCAGCAGGGAAGAAAAUGACGGUACCUGACUAAGAAGCUCCGGCUAAAUACGUGCCAGCCGCCGCCGUAAUAC